rnacentral:tRNA from 2 species
GGCCUCUUCGUCUAGUGGUUAGGACGUCAGGUUCUCAUCCUGAAAACGGGGGUUCGAUUCCCCCAGGGGCUGCCA